rnacentral:lncRNA from 1 species
AGUUGAUAGUAACUACAGUAUAUUAAAAUAUAAUGUCAUUUAGAUAUAUCUAAUGACUCUAAUAAAAAACAAAUUAAGUAAAACGUACAUACAAGGAUAUUCAAAAUGAAAACACUUUAAAACCUGAUGCUCCCGAAUAACAGCGCUUGAUCCAUCCACAUCUAGAUCGCCGAUACGCCCCAAAUUUAAAAAACAAACCAACCAAAAUCUGGGUACAAAAAUAUCAAGCUUUGCAAGACUCACACACCCUAUUACGGAUAUUUAUAACAAUAUAAAGUAGAAUAAUACUCAGAAUACACAAAGUUCUCGUUACCAUUACCAUGCAACAAUCCCAUCAUUGUGUUAUUGAUCUAUAUUCGUGUCUUUCAUUUUUGCUAAAAUAAAUCUGCUUUGUCUAUAUGCCUUUUUGUGUUUCUUUGAUACAUAUGACGUGGCUCUGUACUUAUACACUCCGUCAUUGUGUAAUUGACACGGUGCUAUUAUACAUUUUUGUAUUCUUGUCUUUCAGUUUUACUUAUGUGCGUUGUCUAUUUGCCUUUUGUGCUUCUUAAAUACAUAUAUUUUUUUAUAGUGAAUAAUAUUAUUACACAAUAUUGACUGCUAUAUCCCUAUUUUUAGCUCACCUGGCCCAUCACUUUGCGUCAGUCGUCCGUCGUCCAUCGUCCGUUGUCGUUAACUUUUACAAAAAUCUUCUUCUCUGAAACUACUUGGCCAAAAUAAACCAAACUUAGCCACAAUCAUCAUUGGGGUACCUAGUUAAAUCAAUGUGUCCGGUGACCCGGCCAACCAACCAAGAUGGCCGCCAUGGCUAAAAAUAAAACAUAGGGGUAAAAUGCAGUUUUUGGCUUAUAACUUAAAAACCAAAGCAUUUAGAGCAAAUCUGACAGGCUUUGUCUGUGAAAUUACAGCAUAAGUUGGUCAUGUAAAUGAUUCACUUGUAAAGUAACCUUGAUUACCUUGAUCGAG